CAUUGUUGUAAAUCAUUGUUCCGUUGUUUGGGAAUCCUCAUGCAAGAUCGCUUAAAGAUUAACUUGCAGGCUGAAUCAAUGGUAAGGAAAGCAAAUGCAAUGUUAGCAUUCAUUUUGAGACGAAUGGGAUAUAAAAGCAAGGAUGUAGUGCUGAGGCUUUAUAAGGCAUCGGUCAGACUGCACUUGGAGUAUUGAAACAGGAAUUUAGAAAACUCUGAUCCUCUUCAGACAUUGGCAAUGUGUAUCAAUGGCUUGAAAAAAGUCUGGAAGCUCAAAUAGAAGAUGCCCUUGUGUGGCUUCCAGAACUUUUAUGACUGACCAAUGUGUAAGCUCUAGGGAAAAGGUUUUUAUUCACCAAGGCCUCGGGGAACACGUACCAACCAGAUGCUCCGGACUUCAUCAGCUCAGAUACACCAAAGGACAAGGCACCCAUGAAGUCAUUUCUGGUGGUGCGAUCCCAGUCCCA